CAUGAUCCAGGCCCUGGAGGACACGCAUGACGAGCUGUACCUGCCCCCCAUGCGGAAGAUAGACGGCCUGCUGAAUGAGCACAAGAAGAAAGUCCUGAAGCGGCUGUCGCUAAGCCCAGCCCUGCAGGUGCCUGGGGGUCUGGGCAGGGGGUGUCUGGGGCCCAGGGUCCACAUGGAGAAGACAUGUACGUGUCGGCCGCUGUUGGCGGGGGUGAUCCUGGAAGGAGAUCGUCCUUCUGGGCUCAGAUGGGAGAAGAGUUGAGG
rnacentral:sRNA from 1 species